rnacentral:misc_RNA from 1 species
GUCGAUCAAAAAUAUAAUCUUGAGUUCCUUCCCCGUUGAAAAAAUGAAAAAACAACCGCAGGUAUUAUACAAAUUUAUGGACACAUUCAAGCCACUCAUCAGAAAAAGGUUGCUGUUAAACUUCCUACACUACAUCAUAUCACUCAUGAAAAGAAGGCACUUAUAAGGACACAAAACCUCGAGUGCGAGCAUAUAUUAACACAAAUCUUCCACACAGCAUACAACAGCAGCAGCAGCAUCCAAGCAGUUUUAAAUUAAAUCAGCAACGUUCAUGGGCAUCUCAUCAAUCUGAGUACUGUAGUAUUGCUCAAUAUCUCUCAGGAUCUUGAUGUCAUCACUUUUCACAAAGUUAAUAGCAACACCCUUGCGCCCAAACCGACCCGACCUUCCUAUCCUGUGAAUGUAAAGUUCUCGAUUGUUUGGAAGGUCAUAAUUUAUCACUAGUGAUACCUGCUGAACAUCAAGCCCUCGUGCCCAAACAUCAGUAGUAAUUAGGACACGGGUAGUUCCUGAUCGAAACUCCCCCAUGAUUGCAUCUCUUUCCUUUUGAGGCAUGUCCCCAUGCAUAUGUGAAACUGUGAAGUUAUUACUUCGCAUCUUCUCAGUCAACCAUUCAACCUUCCGCUUAGUGUUACAGAAAAUUACAGCUUGAGUGAUAGUCAAGGUGUCAUAAAGAUCACAUAAGGUAUCAAAUUUCCACUCUUCCCU